GAACAGUUGAAACUACACGCUAAUGAAGCCUUGAGUAUUCAGAACCUCUUCAUGGGAGACAAGUACAUGGAGAAAAGGCAAGAUUAUGUACGGAACACACUGAACAGCAACAUACUUGUAUGUUCUUGAAUGACUGUUUGGGAACUAAUCAUUAACAACAUGCUUCCACACUUCGCUACAUACAGCUGCUCCAUCCUCUCCUUCCCCUCCCUCCCCUCUCUCCCUCCCAUUCUCUCUCAGUGCGGCCGGCGAGGCAGUCGUGGUGGAGGGAGAGACAAGGAAAGGCUGCUGUCUCCGGUGUCAAAGUGAAGGAAGGACACGUGGUGAGGACGUGUGGGUGACUCCUCCAGCCCUGCGUUAUGACAGUUCCCGGAGCUUGGGGAAACAUGGCCGGUGUGUUCGAACCUCAGCCACGAGAGACACACAGCCACGACAGGAGAGACGGUCAUCCAGCAACACUCUUGGAACCUUGGAUCUCUCUGCCUCUCUCCCCCCCUGCAAGCUUGUGUGUGUUAGUGUGUGUGUGCUUGUAUACAGGGCUUUCACUCGUGUGGUCCCGUCUCUGUAUCUAGAAUCGAGUCUUUCCUUCAUUUAGUGUCCAAUGCAGCGGUUCUAUGUCACUGUAACGAGGAAUGAACAUUGGUAUUCUUAGACUGGUUAAUUAUGGAUACAGAGACAGGGCCGCGUAACAGCUUUGUAUAUGGCCUAUAUGCGACGAAGUUUUGUCUCCUACAUUCUCUCUCUCUCUCUCUCUCUCUCAUAUCCCCGCAGUAUGCGCGUUCCCCGCAUUGUGUUCUUUACCUAAUAAAUUAGUCGUUUA